AAGACUUUAGAUAUGAUCCAGAGUACCACGGGACACGUGAAACCCUGUGGGAAGCAGGAGGGACCACCCUCCAAGGCUAAAUACUACCUAGUGACCGAUAGCGUAUAGUACCGUGAGGGAAAGGUGAAAAGAACCCCGGGAGGGGAGUGAAAUAGAACCUGAAACCCUGCACUUACAAGCUGUGGAAGCACAUUUCUUGUGUGACCGCGUACUUUUUGUAGAACGGGCCAACGAGUUACGUUAAGUAGCAAGGUUAAGCACUUAAGGUGCGGAGCCGUAGCGAAAGCGAGUUUUAACUGAGCGUUCAGUUACUUGACGUAGACCCGAAACCGGGCGACCUACCCAUGAGCAGGAUGAAGCGAAAGUAAAAUUUCGUGGAGGUCCGAACCCACGAGACACGCACCACCCGGGGACGAACUCUGG
rnacentral:rRNA from 1 species